CCUACGGGAGGCAGCAGUGGGGAAUUUUGGACAAUGGGCGCAAGCCUGAUCCAGCCAUGCCGCGUGCAGGAUGAAGGCCUUCGGGUUGUAAACUGCUUUUGUACGGAACGAAAAGGUCUGCCCUAAUACGGUGGGCCCAUGACGGUACCGUAAGAAUAAGCACCGGCUAACUACGUGCCAGCAGCCGCGGUAAUACGUAGGGUGCAAGCGUUAAUCGGAAUUACUGGGCGUAAAGCGUGCGCAGGCGGUAAUGUAAGACAGAUGUGAAAUCCCCGGGCUCAACCUGGGAACUGCAUUUGUGACUGCAUUGCUGGAGUGCGGCAGAGGGGGAUGGAAUUCCGCGUGUAGCAGUGAAAUGCGUAGAUAUGCGGAGGAACACCGAUGGCGAAGGCAAUCCCCUGGGCCUGCACUGACGCUCAUGCACGAAAGCGUGGGGAGCAAACAGGAUUAGAUACCCUGGUAGUCCACGCCCUAAACGAUGUCAACUGGUUGUUGGGUCUUCAUUGACUCAGUAACGAAGCUAACGCGUGAAGUUGACCGCCUGGGGAGUACGGCCGCAAGGUUGAAACUCGAAAGGAAUUGACGG
rnacentral:rRNA from 1 species